rnacentral:sRNA from 1 species
CCCAUGGUUGAAACCAUGGGCUAUUGUCAUUCGGUCCCUUCGGGACG